UAUUAACAGAGUCCUCUGCAUUAAAACCAGUACUCAGGAAUCUUCUGUGCAGCAGAGGGAACCUAAGGGUUACUGGUGUAUGCAGUAACUGUUUUACGGGCACCGCUACUUGUGGCAGAGGAGCAAAUGAAAGAGUAAAGAGGAGGAAAAAAAGACAAGGCAUUACUCCACGAGAACAGUGAAGAAACACCUUCCAAACACCUUGUUCAUCUCCAUGGGAAGGGAGGCUUCAGAUCGGCAGAAGAAAUGUGAGAAAAUCUCCUGUUUAAAAUUACAUGGACAGACGAACUCCGCCGGCGACUUCCAUGACAUGAAUUUACCGCUGGAUUGUAUGAAGGUUUCUGCAUCUGUUGCAUUUUUAAUUGCCUUGCCGUUCAAGUGGAAUACCCCCACUGCUGGGCUUCACCCCACAGCCUCAGCACCUCCCUUCUGUGGGAACAAGGGGCACAGCACCGGGCCUACGGGAGCAGUAUGGAAAAUGCAAAGCUUUGCAGGGACUUCACUGAGCAAUACGGCACGCACAGUGCUGAGCGCGCUCGCAAUUUACUGCCUGAGGAGGAGAAUCUACACAGAGAAUCCACACAGAGAAAAGGGGAAGGUCACGAAAAUCGCGUUUUUAUGUAGUUUGGAAGUCCCACGCACCUUUCGUUGCUUGAACUUGUCAAUGUUCACCAUAUGGAAAUUAUUAACUUAAUGCCGGUGUUCUAAAUACUGCCCAGGAAUGCUUUUUAGAAUGGGAUUUUUAUUCUUUGCAUCAAGAAAUGCCAAACUACCACACAAACCGUGACUGGGGAACCUGUGGAACUGGCCCACGUCCCACCAGAGCGAGGAGCUCCUCAUUGGCACAGCUGUGUGUGUCCGGAGUAACCUAGCGCAGAGCGCGGUGGCACCGACAAGGCGCAUAGGGGAGAUAGAAUCGUAGCAUCAUACAAUUGCUCCGGUUGGAAAAGACCCUAAAGAUCAUCGAGUCCAACCGCAACCUGACCAUCCUACCCUUACAAUCCUCCGCUAAAUCACGGCCCUGAGCAAACUGAGCAUUGAGAUGCUGCUGUGUGGAGAUCAGAAGGCAGACGUUCUGGACACCAUCGGGGCGUUAAGGCACUGUGCAUUUUUCCAAGCGUGCCCUCCCUGCCCGCACGUCCCGGCAUUUUUUUCUCUGACUUAGAACGAAAUUUGCCCGUCCCGAAUCCAUCCCACUCGGGCAUUCAUGCUGAAAGCAGCAACAAUUGUCACUGACCUUUAACACGCCUGCUAUUCAAAUUAGUGCAGAUCAUUAAUCACACAUAGCUUACAUUUUAUGAUUCGUGUAUCCUUCAUUACCAACUUUCCCCCUCUCUCGCUCCCGCCCCUUUCCUUUAUCCCAAGGCUGCUGGCAGCCGGCCCGACCCCCCCGCGCCCCUCCGCC
ensembl:lncRNA